AGCCUUUCAUUCAAAACCCGAGAAUUUCCUCUGUUUAAGCGUACAUACUUUUCUCUCUCAUACUUUCUCUCCUCCUGCUCAGCCGUCGCCGAUCAACGCCAUCGCCACCAUCAGUCUGGUCGGCCCUCCUUGCUCCUGACCGUCACCACCAACAAUCUCACGCAAUUUUCUCUAUCAUAUCCUCCAAUCUUUUGCCUCAAUUUUCUCUCUCCUAUGAUCUGCGUUUCAAUUAUUUCGUAAUUAUUCUGGGGUCUUUGUUUUUCUGGAAGAUUGGGUUGUUGGUUGGAGAUAUUGGUUUUGGUUCAUUCCUUGAUUUUCCAUUUAUCUAACUUCCUCCAAGGCUCUGCUCCAACUUUUGAUUUCUCUUCAAAUACACCAGUUAUAUGUGUACAUCAUUUUUGUAUAAUUAGAGUACUGUUAUUCUAUUAAAUAUAGGAGUAGGAACAAAGAUUAUACAUUACUGGAAAAAAUCAAAACGUUUGAUGAGAAACAUUUAAUGGGAAUUGAUUUUUAGAUGUUCAUAGCCAUUAAGAAAAAUCUGUAUUUUUCCAUUGACAAUUGGGAGAUUAAUGGGAAUUGGACUACUUUAUUUUAGUAAUUUGAAGUAGAAUUGUUGGAGAAAAUGGAAGAGCAAAGAAGAUGGAAGAUUGAUGAUGAUGGCGUGAGAAACAAUGAGGAAGCUGGCUUUCCUCAUUAGGAAGAUAAAAGAGAAUGCAGCUUUCCAAUUUGGGCUUCUUGAACUCCCUCAUCAACGGGCAUGCGAUUGAUGUUCAUAAAUUCCUGUUUUCGAGUUUGCAAGUGAAGAGUGAAUGUUCUAAUGGAAUCAAAAGGUGGUAAAGACGGUUCCAGUAGUAGUAGUAAAUCAUUGCAAUACGUCAGCACCACUCGCUUACACCAUUGAAUACGUUCGACCAAAGAGAGGAGUCAAGAAAUUCAGAUCUACUUCUUACUCAAACAUAAGCUAAAAGUAAAAUGAGUUGCGUUCUAAGAAGUGAAGUCACAUCCAGUUAUGGAGACCAUCUAGCAUUCAAUACUACGGUCCAAGAAGUGAAGCCACAAAUUUUGUGGCAUACUAUUUGUAAGAUAUGAUAACUCUGUAUCUUUGCAUUCAUAGAUUAGGAGUAUAAAUAUACAAUGUACAAUUAAGGCAAUAUUCUGCCAUGAUAAUCAGCAAUCAUGUUGCUAAUUUACAGCAAUAGUAUCGCUAAUUAUGCGCCAAUUAUGGCUGAUUA